rnacentral:rRNA from 1 species
CCUACGGGUGGCAGCAGUGAGGAAUAUUGGUCAAUGGCCGGAAGGCUGAACCAGCCAUGCCGCGUGAAGGUCAGUGCCCUAUGGGCGUUAAACUUCUUUUGUGCGGGAGCAAUAAUGGUCACGUGUGGCCAGACGAGAGUACCGUACGAAUAAGCAUCGGCUAACUCCGUGCCAGCAGCCGCGGUAAUACGGGGGAUGCAAGCGUUAUCCGGAUUUAUUGGGUUUAAAGGGUGCGUAGGCUGUGAGGUAAGUCAGCGGUGAAAUGCCCCCGCUCAACAGGGUGAAGUGCCAUUGAUACUGCCUGGCUGGAAUGCGGAUGCCGUGGGAGGAAUGUGUGGUGUAGCGGUGAAAUGCAUAGAUAUCACACAGAACACCGAUUGCGAAGGCAUCUCACGAAGCCGCGAUUGACGCUGAUGCACGAAAGCGUGGGUAUCAAACAGGAUUAGAUACCCGAGUAGUC